GUGCUCGCCUCAGCAGCACAUAUACUAAAAUUAAAACAAUACAGAGAAAAUUAGCAUGGUUCCUGCACAAGGAUGACACACAAAUUUGUGAAUCAUUCCAUAUUUUU